CCCAGGGCGAUGCCCUGGGCUGGUAUGUGAUGCCCUUUCAGGGCU
rnacentral:sRNA from 1 species